UACGUAGGGUGCGAGCGUUAAUCGGAAUUACUGGGCGUAAGCGUGCGCAGGCGGUCUGUUAAGACCGAUGUGAAAUCCCCGGGCUUAACCUGGGAACUGCAUUGGUGACUGGCAGGCUUUGAGUGUGGCAGAGGGAGGUAGAAUUCCACGUGUAGCAGUGAAAUGCGUAGAGAUGUGGAGGAAUACCGAUGGCGGAAGGCCAGCCUCCUGGGCCAACACUGACGCUCAUGCACGAAAGCGUGGGGAGCAAACAG
rnacentral:rRNA from 1 species